CGUUUACUCAACUCAUAGUACUCCUCUAAAGAAAGUGUUAUACCAGCAGGUGAAUCUACAUCCUUGGUGCUUUGAGCUGAUUCACUCUCUUGCAAUGCUUUAACAGUUGCUAAAGCCAAUUUUUCAGAUGCCUUGGCAGCCUCCAUCUCUUUUUGAGCUGCAAGUAAUCUGCUCUCCAUUGUACUUGCUCCAGCCUUUGCUUGUUCUGCUUCUUCCUUUGCCUUGCGCAGCUCUUCACGAGCUAUUUGAGCCAGCUGCUUGGCCUCAUCAGCUGCUUUUGCUGCUUGCUGCAGUUGCUUAGGCAACUCUGCCAUCUUUUCUUUUGCUUCUUUCUCCUUCAUCUGAACUAGAGCUAUCUCUGACCUAGUAUUAUCCAGCUCAGCUUCAAGAGAAGCAACUGCUAUUGAUGCCAUUCCUUCUCUCUGCCUCAUUGUAGCAAGAGAUGAUUUUUCUUUUUCAAGCUCUGACUGGAGUGAUGUGGCGGCCACCUUCAAGCAAUUAACUUCAUCAGUUGCUUUCUCUAUGUUAAGCUUUACUUCUUCUAGCUCCUUCUUUGCUGAAGCUACUGCUGCCUUUAUGUCAGUAUGAGUUCUCUUCUCUGGUUCCUCUUGCUCAGCUUUUGUGUUUCCUUCAUCAGAAUCCUCCUUUAAUUUAGAUUCCAUAUAUGCUGCUAAUUCAGCUUUCAGAUCAA
rnacentral:misc_RNA from 1 species